rnacentral:misc_RNA from 1 species
AACUUUUGACAAUGGAUCACUUGGCUCCCGCAUCGAUGAAGAACGCAGCGAAACGCGAAAUGUAAUGUGAAUUGCAGAACCCCCGUGAAUCAUCGAAUCUUUGAACGCACCUUGCGCCCUGGGGUAUUCCCCUGGGCAUGUCUGUCUGAGUGUCGCGCACCUCUCAACCAGGCCUUGCGCGCUGGCUUGGACCGUGGCCGCUGGCUGUGUACACAGCCCGGCCGAAAUGUACGCGGAGCGCUUAUGCGCUUCUGCGACGUGACACAGCGUUGUAGACCCCUCGCUGACCGUUGCAGGAGCACAGCUCCCCAGUCUAUCAUUUCGACCUCAGAUCAGACAGGACUACCCGCUGAACUUAAGCAUAUCAAUAAGUGGAGGCU